GGACUUUAAGAAGGGGAGUGACAGAAUCUCAACCCUGAGUUUCCAGGUGAUGCUGAGGCUGCUGAUUUGGGGACCUCACUUUGAGAAUGAUGGGCAGUGGCAAAGUACACCAACUCUCGUGCGAGACUGGCUGAGUUCACGUCCCAACUAUACCUCCUCACUACAUAUAUGAUCUGGGAUCUGUCCUUACAUUCAUUGCCUGCUGAGACAACCCACAGGGCUUGAUGAGGCAAAAGGAAAAAUAAACCCUUAAGGCUCAGAUGAAAACGACUACAACUCAAAUCCUGAAAGAGGCUUCUAAGUCAGAGUAAUGAGGAGCAUGGGCAGUGAGGAGCAAAGCUCAUACUGCGAUGGGGGGCUGUAGCUGCUGGACAGAGAACAAGGACAGUUUGCCCCCUUCUGUGCCUUGGGCCAUUACCACUAUGGCCCCCUCCUUUUCACACAGAUUCCCUCUCUUCUUGUUUCUUCCCAUUCCUCCUGUGUCCCAUGGCCCCAUGUUCUUUGUCCCCUAGAGUCUGCAAAAAGGAGAAAGAGCCCCUAUUUCCUCAAACCAUCAAGGGCAAGGAUCUUAUCUGACUUAGGAAUAAAAGGACAAAUCCAUGAAUAAACAAAAUUGUUGCAUAGAGGGAAGUAUUAUGUUGAUGGGCCUCAAUGUAAAUCAUCAAGAAGGAUUGUUUUUCAUCUCUUGUCUAGAGGGGAACAAGGAAGAUGUCCAUUGGUUGCUGUUGUCUGCCCAUCAAAGGCUUGAGCCAGGACAGAGUCUAGAAAUGAGGAGGCAUUCUAAACAAUGAAUAGCACCACAGAGCUCUACAUGUCGAAAACAAUAGCUAACCUUUCUCGCUGCUUCAGGAUUUUGCUGCUGAUAAUUUCAGAUGACAUCUCUGUUUCUCUUCUUUUGUUCCUUUCCACAUUCUUCACCACACCAUUCAUGCUGACAGUCCAUUCAUGUUGCUAAUAGUUCUAUGCAAAAUGCAACCAUUAGCAAGGAAGGGCUUUGCUACCGGAUGAAGAGACAGUAUAAUGUAGUAUAAGAGUGUGGACAAGUGCUGUCCGAUGGAAAUAGAUGGCAAGCCGUGAAUGUCAUUGAAAAUUUUCUCAUGGCUAUAUUGAAAAAGAAAAGAAAUAGAUGAAACUAAUUUUAAUCAUCUCUUAUUGAACCCUGUGUAUCCAAAAUAUCAUUUCAACAUGUAAUUGAUAAAAAACUUGUUAAUGACAUAUUUUAUAUGUUUCAUACUAAGUUGUCAAAAUCUAGUGUGCAUUUUAUACUUAUAGUAUGUCUCAGUUCUGACUGGCCACAUUUCAUUGGCUUAACAGCGACAUGGGCUGGUGGGCACUGGCAGUGCAGAUAUGGGCUCUAUAGCCAGAGUACCUAAGGGUGUAAUUCUGGGAAAGUUACAUAAUCUCUGUGCUUCAGCGUCCUCAUCUAUUAACUGGGGAAAUGGUAGUCCCUACCUCGUUUAGAAUUGUUAUGAGGAUUAAAUGAGCACUUAGAACAUUGUCUGACACAGACCUGGCACUCAGUAAAUGUUAGCUCUUAUCCUCAGAUAUACAUUUAACCACAUCCUUAUAAUGAUCAAAGCAAUCUUUCAGUAAGGUCCUACUCUAGGCUUUCUAAGUAGGGACUGUAUGUCUGAGAUCUUGCAAUGAUGAAAAUCACAUGCCACUUCACAAUUCCUCUGUCACUUCAAACAAAGGCUAUCCGGAGAGUUUGAUCUGAAGAUGUGCUUUUACAAAGCUGGGUAACCUGUAACUUGACAAACUUCUUUAUACUAUUAAGUCUGCAAAUAGUUUAUCACUGAAUUUUCCAGAUAAGCAGUAUUAUAUUUUUAUUGGGGUAUAAAAUUAGGUUCACAGCUAUAAAAUUAUCCCAGCUUGCUUUUUCAUGCUCUCUUACGAGAAGUGAAACCACGCUUCACUACAGUAAGAAGAUAGCACUCGUCCUCCUGAGACUAUGGCUUACAGCCACAAAUCCAUAUUAAUAUCACAGGAUAUAUUUGGGGGCUUGAGCAGCAUGAUACAUAAAUUAUUACCUGGGCACUUGUAUGACAGCAUUUGAAUAAACAACAGAGUAAUUC
ensembl:lncRNA